rnacentral:rRNA from 1 species
GACGAACGCUGGCGGCGUGCUUAACACAUGCAAGUCGAACGGAAAGGCCCUGCUUUUGUGGGGUGCUCGAGUGGCGAACGGGUGAGUAACACGUGAGUAACCUGCCCUUGACUUUGGGAUAACUUCAGGAAACUGGGGCUAAUACCGGAUAGGAGCUCCUGCUGCAUGGUGGGGGUUGGAAAGUUUCGGCGGUUGGGGAUGGACUCGCGGCUUAUCAGCUUGUUGGUGGGGUAGUGGCUUACCAAGGCUUUGACGGGUAGCCGGCCUGGGAGGGUGACCGGCCACAUUGGGACUGCGAUACGGCCCAGUCUCCUACGGGAGGCAGCAGUGGGGAAUAUUGCACAAUGGGCGGAAGCCUGAUGCAGCAACGCCGCGUGCGGGAUGACGGCCUUCGGGUUGUAAACCGCUUUCGCCUGUGACGAAGCGUGAGUGACGGUAAUGGGUAAAGAAGCACCGGCUAACUACGUG